CAGGGAGACACAACUGAUCGUGAUGUCUGAGCGCUGACUAAGUGAAAGCUUAGGAAGCACAUUUGUCUCAGGCCACGGUCCUGUCAUCUCGAAGGUCGAUCGGUACCUCAAGGUGAGCCAUCAAAGCCAAGGUAAAGCUGAAAGUUUCGAAAGAGACCGGAGGUGAUAUGGAGGAAAUUGUGAUGGACUCGUUUUCAGUUCCUAAACUUUGUCUAGGUCACCCCACAACGGGUUUCCAAGUCUUCUGUAUGUUUUGAACCUGCAAGGUUUCAAAGCACGAGAAGAGGAGAGAGGUUCGUGUCAAAGUGAUAGAUCCUGGGCCAUUAGCUCAGGUGGUUAGAGCGCACCCCUGAUAAGGGUGAGGUCCCUGGUUCAAGUCCAGGAUGGCCCAUUCGUGUUUGGGGGUUUAGCUCAGUUGGUAGAGCGCCUGCUUUGCAAGCAGGAUGUCAGCGGUUCGAGUCCGCUAACCUCCAUCCAACGAGGUGAAGACCACCAGCAGGAAGCGGCAACAGGAUGCCUUUUGACCGGUGAGGUGACAAGACAUGUUCAGCUGAGGACUCCAGCCUCCUUUCAUUCCCAGUCGUUUGGAUCACGUCAAUCGUGAAGCCAGCAGCGGUCGUGGUUGAAAGGAAGCUGGACUCGCUGAUUUUGGUGCGAGCCAAAGAUCAGUGACUCUAGCAAAGAACCUUGACAACUGUAUAGGUAAGUCUGGAUAAAGAAAGCAUCUCAUAGAUGCCCAGGCGGACGUGAACCACAUUUGGUACUGCCAAAUGAGGGGAGCGGUCGACUGGGAGAUUCUUGAGUUUAGAGCCGAGAGCUGCCAGCGUCUUUUCGCUCCGCCGAGGAGGGAAGAGUUUGAUUCUGCCUUUCCAACCAUCAAAGCGCUAGAGAGAGCGGGAAACCGAACGAUCAAAGGGUGGAGAGAGGUGAAAGCGGAAGAAUGGGUCUCAACAACCCUGAACGUUGGGAGUGUUAAUU
rnacentral:tRNA from 1 species